UGAGGAAUAUUGGUCAAUGGUCGCUAGACUGAACCAGCCAAGUAGCGUGCGGGAUGAAGGCCCUCCGGGUCGUAAACCGCUUUUAGACGGGGAUAAAAGGGCGUACGUGUACGCCGUAUUGCAUGUACCGUCAGAAAAAGGACCGGCUAAUUCCGUGCCAGCAGCCGCGGUAAUACGGAAGGUCCGGGCGUUAUCCGGAUUUAUUGGGUUUAAAGGGAGCGUAGGCGGACUUUCAAGUCAGUGGUAAAAUCGUGUGGCUCAACCAUACCUCGCCAUUGAAAACUGGAAGCCUGGAGUGCACACAGGGGUGCCGGAAUUCAUGGUGUAGCGGUGAAAUGCUUAGAUAUCAUGAAGAACUCCGAUCGCGAAGGCAAGUGCCGGGUGCACUGACGCUGAGGCUCGAAGGUGCGGGUAUCGAACAGGAUUAGAUACC
rnacentral:rRNA from 1 species